GAAGUGGCGGAAUUGGUAGACGCACCAGAUUUAGGUUCUGGCGCCGCAAGGUGUGAGAGUUCAAGUCUCUCCUUCCGCACCA
rnacentral:tRNA from 2 species